GGCCGCGUCGCUUUCCCCGGCCCGGCGGGCGCCGCUCUGCUGCGGCAGCGGCGCGGCUCGGCGCGGCUCGGCUCGGCUCGGCUCGCCUCUUCAUGCAGUGAGUGAAAGGCGGCUCUGGUGUUUCCCUAUUCUCGCUGUGAGGCACCCAAGCGCUUGGGGCCCAGGCGGUGCGCGGCCGCCGUUAAGCCGCGGUGCUCCCUUUCAGCUCCGCCGGGCCCUCCUUCAGGGCUUCUGCCUCCACCGUCAGCAUUUUGCGGCGUGGCACGGUGCUGCGCGGGAGGGCUCGGGCAGCGGCGAGGUGAUAACCUCUUCAGGGAUGCGCGUAGGCUAAAUGUAGUGGUGUGCUGACACCCUUCACCCUUUCGAGCAGGGUAAACUCGAAUUGCACUUCUUUCUCCUUCUGUCAGUCCUUUAUUUGACGUCUAAACAAGAAAAAGCCGUGACAAUAGGUACUUCAAAUACGAAAGGAGCAAUUUGUACUGUUAUUAUGAAAACAUUCACAACAGAUGUUAAGGCACCUGGCUUUAAAAGCUUGCGAUGUUGUCAUCAUCUACUUCAUCAUCACCAUCUCCACCACCAUGAAGGCCUGGUAGACCCACUGUAUAUUCCCCUUCAGAAAAAAAGAGGAGGAGUAAGAGUCUGGAGAGAAAAAGGGCUCGGCCAAGGAUAUGUAUACAACAGCUACGAGCACUGAGAUGAUGUGUGCAAGGAAUCAGAAGUGAAGCAAGAAGCUGAUGGAAGCCCAGAGUUAAAAUCUGAACAGGAUGUACCAGAGACCUCUUCAGCAGCAACUGCUGAAAGAUCUACAUUUGAUCUGGAGCAGUUCCAGCAGCGCUUGUAUAUGUAUGCUACCAAGAUGUCUGAGUACACCUACCCUCUCUACAGAGCAAGAUGUUUUUGCAGUGAUUGAUUACAACAUGCAUUUGAACCGGCAAACUGCACAAUCAGCAAAAUCGGUUAAUGCACCAAGACCAGGAGGCUGAUCCCAGCGUCAAGGAUAUAAAUGAGAUUCCUUUGGGUUCAAGGAACUUAUGCUGGUCUGCUAAUUUGCUGCAUGGAAAUACAGAUGGGGCAAGCAAUUGUUUCUUCCUUCUCCUUUGUUAUAG
rnacentral:lncRNA from 1 species